rnacentral:piRNA from 1 species
UUUCAUACCGUUGGAAAAAUU